UAGGCGAGUAGAAAGAGGGGCGCAAAUGGGCAUUAAGGCGCUGCAGUGACACAGCGGGGGACCGAGGCGUCAUAACUAGCAACUUUCUAUGGAGGCGACGCUAUAUUCGUGUGGCAUAUUACAGUAUGGAGGAAUUUUUGCUACGUGCCAAAUCUGUGCUGGAAUCUGGUUCUCAGUGUGCAGGAAUUCAUGCAGUUUUGGGUCGAGAGGAGGCUGAUGUGGACUCUGUGGCUGCAUCGCUGGGCUACGCGUAUUUCCUCAGCCAGAAGGAGCCCGGGGACUGCCUAUGUGUGCCCAUCCUGAACCAGCACCGGUCCCAGCCGGCUGUGCCAGAUGAGACCCGGGCCUUUCUGCAGAGGCUCGGCGUGGCAGAGUCCGCCAUGCUUUGGAGAGACGACAUCGACCAGUUCAUGCUGCAUGCAGCCAGGAAGCUGACGGUCACGCUUCUGGACAGUGACGCCAUCAUCGGGGGGAAGGCAGGCUCCCUGGCAUCAAGCGAUGUCAAAGUGAUCCAUCGCUCCGAGCGACGGGGGGGAGCCAGCGAGGCUGCUUCGCUGACAGCAGCGGUCGCCAGGGAGAUUCUCCAAGAGGCAUCGGAGCGGCUGGCGCCCCCCCUGGUCGGGCUCCUCCGAGAAGCCCUCCUGGUGUUGUCCAGGGAGCGCCUAACCAAAGAUGGCCGCCUUCCCCCCGCCUGCGAGGAGCUCCUCGGGGAGCUGGAGCGAGGGUGUCCACAGCAGGACCAAGGGGGCCAUUCGGGCGGGAGCGCAGCUAGAGGAGACAUCCGAGGUAUAAGCACUGAUGAAAUCCUCCUGAGGGAGCAGAAGGAGCUGUUGGACGGGGACGUCAAGCUGCUGAUCAGCGUGGUGUCCUUGGACCUGGAGGACUACAGUACCCAUCCAAGUGUCAUUUGGGAUUUGAAGUCAUUUUGUGAUCGCCAUGGUUACCAGGGGCUUGUUCUGGUGUCAUCUACCCUAUAUGAAGUACAUCAUCAGUGUCAACAGGUGGCAGUGUACUCUACGAACAAGGAUAUUUUCAGCCAGAUUUGCUGCGAGUUGGAGGAAGCCAAUAUCUCCAGCCUGGACGUGGAGCCGCUCAGCUGCACACUACAUGCACUUCAGCUGUAUAGGUGCAGGAACACAGCAGUCUACACCGAACAGGUGGUCAUGCUCGUCAAGGAGUUCCUGGAAAGGAGGCAGCGCUCGUUGGCUCAGAACAGUCGGACAUCAUCCACCGAAGGCGUCGCCGGCAGCGCGCCCCUCUCACAGGGCUCCUCCGGCAUCACGGACAUGUACAGCUCCGACGCCGAGCCCGCCUCCACCAUCUCCAUCCACUCCCCGGAGAACCCCGCUGAGCUGAGCGAGCCGCAGCCAGCCUUCGGGGAAGGGGGCCCCGAGCUGCUGAGCCCCGACAGCGGCAUGGCCACGGUGCGCAGUAGCCGCUCCUCCAAAGAGAGCUCGGUGUUCCUCAGCGACGACAGUCCCAUGGGAGAGACGACUGGGUUCUUCCAGAACCCAGCUCUCGGCCUGUGCGUGGUCGCCACUGCUGUAGAUCAAGGCGCACAAGAACACAGGCCCUCUGUGAGAAAUAAAAGUGACAACUUUGACCUUCUUAGUUUAGAUCCCAUGCACGAUUGCAGCAGCUCUCCUCCAGAUGACGAUGUCAAACUUUGUGGUGCUACCAAAGAACACAUGGCUUCCAGCCUGUUAGAAGAUGAUGAGUUGAGUCUUAUAGAUUUCUAUGAUUCUGAUGGGCAGAGAGUAAGUGAGGGAAGCUAUUUGUCAGAGGAUAGAUUUACCUUGCCUUGUAUGGAGCAGUCUGGGAGUGAUGGCUCAGAUACCAGAAUCCCACCCACACCCAUGAACAGUUUUGUUGAAACCUCACCUCUUAGUCAUGGACUGCCAAAGUUCUUUUCAGAAGAUAUCAUGGAGAAAAUCAAUGGAAUUGUAAACAAAGAGAGUGUCUCAUCAUCUGAUCCCUGGGAUGACCUUAUGUCAGACACCAAGGGGUCAACUUCAGAUGAUGCUAUUAUAUGGAGUCUAGCAGAAGUGAGAGAUAUUGGUGAGAAAAGUCCAGAUAUUGGCCUGAACAGUAGGAUGGAACUAAAGGGGACUGGAGGGAGAGAAAAGGAAGAAUAUCUAAUAAAGGAGGGCAGCCAGUCAAGUGACUCACUCCUCUGGUCUCCUCCUGCUAUGAAAGAUGCAUUAGAUGUAUUUGAAUGGAACGUGGAUGUAUCAGACUCCAACCAAGCUGCAACUCAACAUGAACAGGUAUCUGACGUAACAUUAGCCAACACGUUAAUUCAGCAAGUUAUAUGUAAUUUAUGUGAUGACCUUAACAGUGACACACUGGAAGCAAAUGAAUCCAUGGCCAUAUCCUCAAAACCUGGAGUUCAUAUAGAGAAUAAUGAUAAUGGCAAAGACCCACAUUAUACAUGCUCAGAGGGUACUAAUUCAGAAAUAUUAUUUGUGCAAAAUGAUUCAAGCUGUACUGAGAGCACCAAAAACGUUUGUUUGGUCUCAGACAUUACAAAUGAUUUCCAUUUAAAAGCAAACCUACAAUUAAUAGAAAAGAAAGACUGUCUGUCCUACAGUGACAGUGUGAUUGCAUCUAGAUCAGAGGGUCUCUCUGCAGAUUAUGAUCUCUCACUGAUAGAACUAAAUGAAACAGAAGUAUCAUCAUUAACUAACAAAGAAAUAGACCUGAUGCAUGUGGACAGAGACUUUUCACUUCUUAAAUUACGAAGCCAGCUCACUGAGUCACCGGGCGACUUAACUGUUUCUCACAAGAAUGCAAACGAAAGUAUUGGGGAAUCACAAGAAAAAAGCUCAUUGCUUUUAGAGGAUCUUUUCCUGCAGAAAAUCGAAAAUGAACCCCCUAAUGAAAAGGACCCAAGUCCAGACACCUCCAGUACAUGGAACCCCUUUGUUCAAACAGUUCCACCAGCUGAAGAGUACAAUAGCUGGGUCCCGAACAUAGGUGUCUCAGACAUGUGGAGUUCAGGAAGCCUUGGUGAUAUUCAGUCAGUCCCAGUGGGUGAAGAGAAGUAUGUUCCAUUUUUUAAUACAGAAGGGUCAUCAGUGGUUGAAAAGCCAAGAACAAUGGAAGCACAAACGAAAUUCACGCCUGAAACCUGCAAAGGGGGUGGACCCCCUCGGUCAGAUAUUGACCCUUCUUCUGUUGAGAAUGGAAUCCAGACAUCCUGCGCCAUUUUUAAUCUGGAGUCACUUGAUAUGUGGAACACAACUAUUUGUGAUGAUUCACAGUCAACCAUCACAAGUCCUGAAACAGCUGACCACUCAGAGGCAUCUGAGCAGUGCAGUGGCCGCGCCCAGGGAGACUCCAUGGACUGUCUUUCUCAGGAUAUCCACCGAAGCAUGGAAAUGUGGAACACCACAAUACAAGAGGACACCCAGUCUGCUAGUCCUCAAACAAGAGAUGACGGCAUAGAAGUAGGAUCAUGUGAAACACCUUUCAGAAAUGACUCGCAGGAAGGCCAUGAGGACACAGACAUAGGAAGUUCUAAGGACACAGAAAAUAUUCAGUCUGGGCAUUGGAGCUGGAGUAAAACUAGCACAGAUAUCUAUGGCCCAGAAAGUCGGAAGGAGUCAAAAACAACAAAUUAUAUUCCGGAUUCCCAAAUUCUGUCAGUUGGUAGGUCAUUGAAUGAGACAUCAGCUAGGUCUGAUCGAGCUGCUGGACUGUUACAAGAAAACAGCAUUGAUAGUGGCCAACGCCACACUUUCAAUGAACUAACAUUAGACACCAAAACCGACAUAAUACUAAAAAUGGAUAAUAAGAACAUAUACAAACAAACGGAGCUGGAUCAGGUUAAUGAUUUUGAACAUAGACAGAAAUUUCUAGAUCAUCAGUCAUCGGAGAAGAACCUUCACACUAUACCCAUCACUAAACAAAUGGUGAAAUCAGUAUCACAGUAUGACAAUGUAGACCCUGAAGUUCAGUGGGAUCAAGCCUCCCCAAACUUCAUGACUUAUCAGGAGACAAACACACUCACUGAAACAUCAUCACAAAUAGAAGAUCAGUCAACAUUUACAGAAGAAUGUAGACAUGAUGCAGCAUCUACUGAGCUAACCUUUUAUUUUGGGCCAGGUUUACUUCAUGAUAGAGAUGGUUGUGCUCCAGAAACUGAGAGGGUCUUUCCAGUACAUACUAGGGAGACAGCUUAUGGGAAAUAUCAGGUAGAACGAGCCAAGGAAACUGAUCACAGAAACCUGGAUUUCUCGACUCCACAGAGACAUUUACAUUCUUCAAAGGAUAAGGUAGUUCCUCAAAUUGAAAUAUGUGAUAAUUCGCAAACAGAAACACUUUUCAUUAAUGACCUAAACCAACAAAAAGAAGACAUUUUCAAAAAUGCAACAAAGUUCCCAUCUAAUUUGUGUCCCGCUGACAGCACAGAUGAUGAAAAAACCACAAGGCAAGAGCCAAGUCAUCAUAUGAGAAAUGGAUCUCUCACAUUAUUGGGGGUUGAAGGGGAAGGUCACAUAUCCAAACCUGUCAGCAGCCCUGAAUCAGGAAGAAACAUGUCAGAUGGUAGUUGGGUGGAUAGUGAAUAUGAAAAUGAUGUUGAAUCGAUGGAGGAAACAAGCCACUUCUCACCAUUUAUACUUUUGGAUGAUUCACUCCACUCAGAUAGCAGCAUGUUUCCAUUAAACCAGGUAGAUGAUUCUGUCACAAGUGACCUUCCAAGUGCUGAUGGGGCAGCGUACCUUAGCAAGGAGAACAACAAGUCCUCCAACUGUAGUGACUUCUUGUCUGUUGAGGAAUUAGAAAUCUCAGAGUUGCUAGAAUAUCCAAAUAUCUGCACUCGAGAAUCUGAAGAUAUCUUCUUGGCUACUCCCACACAAGUAGAUGAACAUCCACACAUGGCUUGUAUUGACUCUGAGACCAGAGCAGUUGCCCUAGAGGCAAUGAGCCCUACAUUGUGGGAUACAGACUCACUGGACAGAAAGCAAGACAGCUCUGAACGCCUGCAACUUGAGAGCCGAGACGAUGUGAGAUCUUUCUCAGACGGGGAUUCCUCGGGGUUGGAGAUGGAGUAUAUUAUUGUUUUGGGGCAAGGGACAGUCCAGGAAGGUGAUGGAAAAAGCAGAACAGAAAACAUUACUCCAGAUCUAUUAAGCAGUCUAGUAGAUAUAAAUAAACCUUGCACAAAGGAUGCACAUGUAAAAAAUACCUGCCAAAGGGAUACAAAUGUAAAAAGUUCAGAAAUAAAUGCAGAGUUCCAGCUAAACACCAACUUCCCCAACCACUGUGAAGAACCUGCAGAUGUGAAAAGCAGUGCUUCAGUCAAGGACACAUUUACUCGUUUUAAAGCCAAAGAUGACGUUUAUGUCCGGUCACAGAUUUCGCUGGAAGAUUCGGAUGAUGAGGGGCGAUCUACUCUAGGAACCCAAGGGUGGACACUGCUGGAUAGGCAGAAAAAGCUGGUGGAUUCCCCUGAAGAAAGCUCUGCAAUAACUGAUAGCCCUCUAGGUGGUUCAGGGGGGAUUAUAAAGGAUAUGGACUCACCAUUGGCCAGCAAUGCCAGGAAAGGAGCAGAUGGCAUCUUUUUGCAUUUCACAGGCUCUGACAUCAACUGUGUGGUUCAUGAGAGAGAGAAGCAAAAUAUCAUCCAUGGCUUUAGCCAACACACUCAUUUGGCUCAGCCACCUCCAGUGGGCAUAAUCCCAGUGCCAAUGAACGUGAAAUCAGUUGGAAGGAAUAGAGAACCUGAAUGCACAGUUGGGGAUCAGAUCUAUAAAGAUUAUGAGGAAGUCAUAGCAGAGCAGCUAAUAGAUCAGGAAGACGUAGCCGAAGUGAUGAGGGAGAAGACAGGGAGUUCUUCUGCAGGAAUUCUGCAGGCUGCUGGCUUCAGGGGCUUCAGGCAAGAAUGUCUCCCCGUGGGGAACCUUGGUGACUCAGAGGCUGGUCUGAUUGUUCAAUGGACGGAGAACAAAGAUCUCGCCCAGUGCACGAUUUCAGGGUCCCCAACAGAGGAUGUGGGAAUGGACAACCAGUAUGACGAGGACAUGACGAGUCCCAGUGGGGCAGAGAACAGACCAGCGCCCCCUUCCUCACUGGACCUGCAUGGGACCCAUCCCCAGCGCAAGAAGCUGGCAGCCCCAGAGAUUAACCUGUCACUGGAUCAGAGCGAGGGCUCCAUCCUGUCGGACGAUGCUCUGGACACACCGGACGACCUGGACAUCAACGUGGACGACAUGGACACGCCGGAUGAGGCGGAUUCCCUGGACUAUGCCGGCCAUGGCAACGAGCAGGAGUGGCAGGAAUCCCAACAGGACACAGUGGGAGAGCCCACCGAGGCCAUCCCAGAGUACACCACAGAGGAAGAACGGCAGGAUGCUAAACUGUGGAGGACCGUCAUCAUCGGCGAGCAGGAGCACCGCAUUGACAUGAAGUGCAUCGGGCCAUACCAGAGAGUCAUCUCCCAUGGAGGUUAUUAUGGCGACCUCAAUGCCAUCAUUGUGUUUGCUGCAUGCUUUCUGCCUGACAGCAACCGGGAUAAUUACCAUUAUAUUAUGGAGAACCUCUUCCUCUAUGUGAUAAGCACCCUGGAGCUUAUGGUAGCAGAGGACUACAUGAUCGUGUAUCUGAAUGGAGCCACACCACGCAGGAGAAUGCCUGGCCUGGGCUGGCUGAAGAAGUGCUAUCACAUGAUAGACAGGAGGCUGAGGAAGAAUCUGAAAUCCUUCAUUAUCGUCCACCCUUCUUGGUUCAUCAGAACCAUCCUUGCGGUUACCAGGCCCUUCAUCAGCUCAAAAUUCAGCAGCAAGAUUAAGUAUGUCAACAGUUUGGCAGAACUGAGUGAGCUGAUCCCCAUGGAGUAUGUGCACAUUCCAGAGAGCAUAGUCAAGUGAGUUUUUAGUCCUUGCACAGUUGGAUAUGUACAAAGAAGUCAUAUAAAAUAUCAGCUUGUUUGCAUAAUGAUAUUUUUAAAAUCCUGUAAUACCUGUUUGAACACUUCACACACGUGAGUAAUGUUUAAAAUUAGCUAGCAGGUGUGGAGUGUUUAGGUUCUGAUGAAUGAAAUCAUUAGAGAAUUUAAUGUACAUUUAUUUGAGUUCUGUGAACAUUCCCUCUUUGGGGUUUACAGGCCCACAGUGAUCUUAAAAAUGUCCCCCCAUUCAUAAUCACUUGUUGCUAAAAUUGUGGAAACACUUCUAAUUUUUAGAUAUUGCAGAACUUCAUUCAGCUGUUGCUCCAGUUACUUACUUAAUCACGCAAUGUAUGAUAUUUGUAAGAUUCUUUGUUUAUAAACAUUACCACCAGUAUCUGUGUAGCCAUCUUUAAAGCGUAAUACCAAAAAUGCUCAGAGUUUCCACAAUUUUGGCCACUAGUGUACAUCUGUUUAAAAAUAGUGAGAUCUUUGUAAACCUCUGUAAUUAAGAAAGUUUUUCUCUUCAGUGUCGAAUCUCAACAGUCUUUAUGUUUUAAAUAUUGUAAUUGAUGUUGUAGUUCCUCAACAAGAUCAGCAAUUGCCACAGUGAGUAGGCAGUAAACAUUUGGAGCAAGGAUGGGUCUUUGCUGCGGUGCUCUGACACUGUGAGGGGCACUAGAGAGAUUUGCAGCAGACCACAGGGAAACCUUAACUCAGUACUUACCCUGGAAAAUUCUCCAGUGUCAAAUAUUGUAGUACUCUGUACCAUUACUUGCAAUGGAGUCUGAUGGACUCCCCACACAGACAAGCAUUUUAGUGCUUAAUAAUGUGCCAGCAUGCUGAAACUGGAGAAGACUUUGUGGAGGAGAAGCUCAGGUUGGGACCUGAACCUCUAUGCUUCUAAUCUAACUGUGCCUCCUUCCCACCUUUUCCCCGGAAGCUUUGAAGAAGAGCGGGGUAUCAUACGAUACGCUCGCAUGAGACUCAACAGCUUUCUGCACGGACCAGAGCCCGCUUCUGGCCAACUGGAGACCGACAAAAGCCUCAACGCCAGCGACUCCUAGACACGACUGUCUGCAAGCUGUGCUCACAAAGUGCAUCCUCAUCUGAAGACUUGUUAUCUGCAGUGUAUGUCAUUGUAUAUUCUAGUGAUGUAGAUGCAAAUGAUAGAUUAUUUAUCUGAAGUUAACCUCAGGUAAGAUAAUCUGAAUUCUUUCCAGCAGCACUGCUGAUUUAAGUUAAGACCCAGUAUUUAAUUUUUUUAAAUUAUUUUAUUAUAUUGAAUCAUAGCAUAGACUAGAGUAAUUUCUGACAUUGCUGAUUCAUUUGAACAUCUGCAUAUUUUGAGCAGAAAUGUUGCCACCCAAAUUCAUAUGACCUACCCUGAUAAUUGGCAGCUGAGUCAGCAGUAUACGGGUGGUGACAGAACUGAAUAAGCUUCAAUCAAACUGAAGAGUUUUUUUUUUUUUUUUUUUUUAAAAACACUCCCACUCUGGCACUUUUUCUUUUGCAAUUGAAAUUUGUCGGUGAAUCCUGAAAUAUGCCAGAAUUUCUUGAUAAGGACAAAGAUUACCUAGCCACUUGCCUGAUUUCUAUUUUUUUUGUCUUAAUAUUUUUAAAGAUUUGUUUCAAGUUUUCCAUGUCUCCUCACUCAUCAGUGUCAUAAUAUUAAUAAUGUUUAUUAUCAUAUUCCUGUUGUUUUUCAGCGAUAUUUUAACAUGUCCAGCAUUGUGCUUGCUCUCUCACAGAAUCAGGACCUGUACUCGAACCUCAAACAUGCACGUUUGCUAUUUUGAUGGUGUGUGGAGGGUGACAGUAGCCCCCAAAUGUGUCUCCAGUGGGUACUAAUCAUAACUUUCCACACGUCCUUUUCACACCACACUCAUAGUCCGUAUGGCAAACACUGACAUGCAAGGAAUAUGUAGAGGAAUGGGAGAGCCAUUCUAAUGUUAGCUAGAGUGGCUGAUUCAUAUUCUGUUCUGUCCUUUUUUUGUUUAAGUACUGGCAAUAAGUCGAUAUGUGUUCAGUACAGAUAACCGUUAUAAAUGCAUGGAAAAUUUGUUCUUUAUUGAAAUUCUACUUAAAAGCCAUGGAAAAUGAAAUAUAAUUUUUACUUUGCUAAUAUAUAUUUUAAAAAUGUGUGUUUUAUAUGUAUAUAAAAACAGCAAAUCACAGUAAUUCAGACCAGGAUUGUUUGCAUGUUGGCCCUGAUGUAAGUGUACUUCAGAAGGAGCUCAGUUCUGUAAAAUUUCUACUACAACAUAACAUCUGGAUUGGGGGGACUUAACUAUUAAAAUCUCGUGCAUCAUGUCACUUAUGCAAAUUGAAUAAAUGUUGCAUCACAAA